GGUCAGGAGAUUGAGACCAUCCUGGCUAACACGGUGAAACCCCGUCUCUACUAAAAAUACAAAAAAAUUAGCCGGGCGUGGCGGCGGGCGCCUGUAGUCCCAGCUACUUGGGAGGCUGAGGCAGGAGAAUGGUGCGAACCCGGGAGGCAGAUUUUGCAGAGAGCCGAGAUCGUGCCACUGCACUCCAGCCUGGGCGACAGAGCAAGACUCCGUCUCAAAACAAAAAACAAACAAACAAAUAUGGAGCAUUCUGAUAUGAAUAAGACACUUGCUCACUUCUCAAUUCCUUGGUGUCCAGCUCUACAAGUGUAUAUAGACUUCCAAAGAAUAUUUAAAUCCUUUAACAAAAAUGCCACCUAAGAAAAUAUGAAAUACUUCAGUCUGUCUGUCAGUGCUCACUUCCUGUCUAGAAACUUUCAGGCUCCGGCACAAAUGAACCAUGUUCUUCGCCUAAGUCAUUUAUGGAACAUCUGCUUUCGGUUUAGCAUCAGUGUGCUAUUAAUCCAGGUCUUCCAAGAAACAAAUGCCAAGAUGGUAUUAAACAUGAAAUGAUUUUAAUUGUUUACAUGCCUGAAAGUAAAUAAAGAGGGUGCCAGCUAAGGCUGAAAAAGUCUUCAGUGAUAUAAAUUUUACCACACUUAAAGAGAGAGAGGAAAAGUUUAAGUGGAAGCUCCUACUCAGCCAUGCUGUCUAAGGAAGAUUUGGCAAAACCUUGAGCUAAAGUCAGCCAACGGAAAUCCCACCUUUCUCCAAAGAAUGGAUCUGCUUUACUAUCUUGCUUGGUCUUAUUGCUUUGUGACCUAGUAAUAUCUUUCUCGAGUGCAUGAAACAUCUCAGAAAUGCAAACAUCAAGGAAGAUACUAAUCCUUUCUUCCAGUUUCUGUGUGAGGGUUGGAGGCUGACUUUGGUGGUGAUCUUGCUCCAAAUUAUAGAACUACAUCCUGUCAUGAAGAGAAGUUUGUCUUCUCGAUAAAGCCAAGUAGCUAACAGAGAUGGUCACCCCAAUUACCAGAUGGACAUAAUUAUACUUGAAUGCUGACCUACAACAUUUUGUGCUGUGCAGAGGCUUUGAAAAUCAAACAACUUUGAAAAUACAAAGCACCGCGUGGAUGGCCUCACUCUGUCGCUCAGGCUGGAGUGGCACGAUCUUGGCUCACUGCAGUCUCUGCCUCCUCCUCUUGGAUGCAAGCAAUUCGGCCUCCAAGUAGCUGAGAUUACAGAGAGGCUGAAAACUCAAGAAAUGUGGACUAAGUGUGUGGGCAAGUGUGUCACUGCUGACUAAAACUAUGAACAGACAGAGUCUUGCUCUGUCACCCAGGCUGGAGUGCAGUGGUGUGAUCUCUGCUCACUGCAACCUCUGACUCCCUGACUCAAGUGAUCCCCAACCUCACCCUCCCAAGUAGCUGGUACUACAG